rnacentral:rRNA from 1 species
UAAGGAAUAUUGGUCAAUGGAGGCAACUCUGAACCAGCCAUGCCGCGUGCAGGAAGACAGCCCUCUGGGUCGUAAACUGCUUUUAUUCGGGAAUAAACCUCAUUACGUGUAGUGAGCUGAAUGUACCGAAGGAAUAAGGAUCGGCUAACUCCGUGCCAGCAGCCGCGGUAAUACGGAGGAUCCAAGCGUUAUCCGGAUUUAUUGGGUUUAAAGGGUGCGUAGGCGGCUUUUUAAGUCAGGGGUGAAAGACGGUAGCUCAACUAUCGCAGUGCCCUUGAUACUGAAGAGCUUGAAUGGACUAGAGGUAGGCGGAAUGUGACAAGUAGCGGUGAAAUGCAUAGAUAUGUCACAGAACACCGAUUGCGAAGGCAGCUUACUAUGGUUUAAUUGACGCUGAGGCACGAAAGCGUGGGGAUCAAACAG